rnacentral:rRNA from 1 species
CCUACGGGUUGCACCAGUAGGGAAUCUUCGGCAAUGGACGAAAGUCUGACCGAGCAACGCCGCGUGAGUGAAGAAGGUUUUCGGAUCGUAAAACUCUGUUGGUAGAGAAGAACGUCGGUGAGAGUGGAAAGCUCAUCAAGUGACGGUAACUACCCAGAAAGGGACGGCUAACUACGUGCCAGCAGCCGCGGUAAUACGUAGGUCCCGAGCGUUGUCCGGAUUUAUUGGGCGUAAAGCGAGCGCAGGUGGCUUAUUAAGUCUGGUGUAAAAGGCAGUGGCUCAACCAUUGUAUGCAUUGGAAACUGGUAGACUUGAGUGCAGGAGAGGAGAGUGGAAUUCCAUGUGUAGCGGUGAAAUGCAUAGAUAUAUGGAGGAACACCGGUGGCGAAAGCGGCUCUCUGGCCUGUAACUGACACUGAGGCUCGAAAGCGUGGGGAGCAAACAGGAUUAGAUACCCCAGUAGUC